rnacentral:lncRNA from 1 species
UUUAUUUUUUUUAUAUGUAUGACUAUAGUGUACUUUGAGAUAUGUAUGAAUAUGUGUAGCCAUUCUAUGAAGCUUUUUAUUCGGUCAUUCUAUAUCUAUAUAAUGAUUAAUUUAUGAUGAUUAAUUUAUGUGUGCAUGCGUACAGUUUGAUAAGUGAUUUUGGUAUUCGGGCCUUGGCCGUAUUUAGUUCCUCCAAAAUUUUUUUGACACCACAGACACACAUUUAAAGUAUUAAACAUAGACUAAUAAAACAAAUUACAGAUUCCACCUAUAAACUGCGAGACGAAUUUAUUAAGCCUAAUUAAUCUAUCAUUAGCAAAUAUUUACUGUAGCACCACAUUGUCAAAUUAUAGCGUAAUUAGGCUCAAAAGAUUCGUCUCGCAAUUUACAUGCAAACAAUGCAAUUGAUUUUUUUUUCAUCCACAUUUAAUGCUUCAUGCAUGUGUCCAAACAUUUGAUGUGACGGAAUUUUUGGAAGUUUGAAGGGAACUAAACACAACCCUUAUUUAGAUCCCAAAAAAUUUUGGCCAAAAACGUCACAUCAAAUGUUUGGACAAAUGCAUGGGGCAUUAAAUGUGGAAAAAAAAUCAAUUGCAUAGUUUGCAUGUAAAUUGCGAGACGAAUCUUUUGAGCCUAAUUAUGCCAUGAUUUGACAAUGUGAUGCUACAGUAAAUAUUUGCUAAUGACGAAUUAAUUAGACUUAAUAAAUUCAUCUCGCAGUUAUAGGCGGAAUCUGUAAUUUGUUUUGUUAUUAGUCUACGUUUAAUAAUUUAAAUGUGUGUCCGUAUACUUCAAAAACUUUGCACCCAAACAACUAAACACACCCUCAGGCAAUAUAACUUGGUUCUUUUUUUCUCUAAUGCAGCACCACCAUAGUCAACUGUAGAGUUAUCCCUUGGUAUGUGAAGUGAUGAUCAGAGCCAAUGUACCUCUCAAACCGACUCACAAAUGGAUAUCAUCAUUGUUGAAAGAAGGGUUUCAUCGGGGUUUUAACCGAUGAGGUAUGUAGAUGUUGCAUCGGCUUACAAAGAUUGCAUAUAAGUUGGAUUUAGCCAUUCGCAACAAAGGUUUCACUGUUUAUCUAAUCUUGUGGAUUUUAUGACAUGGGACCUCCAGCCAAUAUAUGCUUUAACCAUCGGAAUAUUUAUUUUAUCAUAUCAUUGUUAGCCGAUUAGUUUCUACUGGAUUAUAUUAUUGUUAUUUAUCAUCAUCGGCUGAUGGCCUUUAUGUCAUUUAUUUACUCAAGUAUCAGACUUUGCAUUGGACAUAUAGCCGAUUGCUCAAAACCCUAUCAACAUCUGCUGGUAUCGGCAUCAGUUGGAAUUACUCCGUCUGCUUGUCAGCCAAUCGGCUCAUUGAUCUACUAUUUGCAUAUCUUAUCAGUUGCAGGAUCAAACUGACUGACACUUCUGCAUCUCAUCAACCUUUUGACCUGCACUGGAGCUAAGUAGAUCUCCCAUGCCGUUGGGUUUGUUGACUUAAUUUUGCGCCAACACAGUUCUGGCACCAUCGGCCGAGCGCGGUUUUUUCGUCAACAGGGGGUAAAAUGAAAAAAAAAGGAGAUGCUAAGGUGCCUAUUUUUUCCUCUCAGGGUGGGAUGAGGAUUUGUGGAAGGAUUCCUUAGAAAAGAAGUUUCUUGAAGGGUAUUGAAAAUAUUUCGCAAACUGAGGAAAUAACGGCUAGAAGCAUCGGAACGAAGAAUUGAACGGCUAAAGUUCCCUUAAUGACGUGGUGUUGUAUUUUGCAAGGAAAGGUUUCACUUUUCACUUAUUUAGAUAUAACACACAUGCAUGUAUUUUCGUGCAACUAGUGACUUGCAACACAUGAUCCCUGCUAGAUGCCUGUUGGCAGUCAUUAAACCCUAAAAUCACCACCAAUAUUAUAAUAAAAAUAUCACAUAAAGCAUGUUACCUAGGUCGAUUUUGCCUUAUUUCAAUGAGUUACACGAUUUCUGUUGGAUUUCACUACGCGUAUAAUAAUUCACGAUUUUGACCUAUUUUUUUUCCAAUGAAAAUCUGGCAUUUUAAGCCAAAGGGCUGACCAGCCGACCAACAUACCUCAUGGGUCAACCGGCCUAAAGACUUGGCCGACUAGCCAACUCAGGGCUCGGCCAGCUAUUUGGAAACGUGUCCUGAUUGGCCACCCUCCUCACUGAGCCGGCUGGCCUGCGCAGCACGAUGUGAGGCUAAUGAUUGAUUGGUGGACCCCAUUCUGGGAGUGAUGUCUUCUCGGAUGAGUAACAUGUAGACUUACUUUUCCCUCUUAAUAUUUUAUUCAUACAUUAUGCUUAUUGCCAUACUUUUUUUCCUAGUUCUCUUCUAAGUUUAUUUUUUAUGCUUGCUUGAGUGGAUGCCUCAUUUAUAAUUAAGCUGGGAACAUGUAUAGUUCUAUGUGUGGGUGUGGUGCUUAGGAAUAGUUUUAUCUAGGAAGGCUGGUUGGGGAAACAGAGGACGUAGUUGGCCGGGUGCCGACAGCCUCGGUUGUCCUUUGAAGCCAGCCACGUUAACCCUAAUUACGCUGACGCAAAUAGGUAGACCAAUGCUUAAUGUGGAAAGCAGUCCUGUUUCCAAAGCAAGCAAGGAUAAGUGUAGCUAAAUGGAUUUCCUAGAAUGAAAGCAGUCUUGUGAUGUGGGGAAUAACCCGGGGACUUGAAUCCUGACUAAUUCGAUGAUUUCACAACCAUAUCAUCACAUUCACACAACAAAUACAUAUAUAUAGACAAUAAUGUUCACAUUUCUAAGUGUUAACAAAAGACACACAUCACAUUGGACUAACUGGUCAAAUAAAAGAGAGUCAAACAUAGCGCAAUAAGAGAACAAAAAAAUAUAUACAUUCUUUAGUAUGCCAUCUAACUAACUAGGAAUUACUACCCAUGUCGAAACGCGGAUGACCGCACCGAGAAGGCAAAUUCUUCUUUGCCAAUCGAAGAGCACAAACAAGAAUGAGAUAGAAUACAACCAAAAUUACAGAUGAAUGAUUAAGCUCACAAGUUGGGGUCUUACAAACCGAUCUAGCGGCGAAACUAUUCUCGACAGAAUAUUCUAAGCAAAACCCGACUCUAAACGAUGACGGCUACUUAAUUAAUAUGAUUAGGGACGUCCUAGGGUUGCCCUAGGGCGCACACCCUCAUGGGCUAAGCCCACGACACAAUUAUAAGGCCCAAAACCCAAAUCAGAUUUGGAUUGGAUGAGAUACAUAACUUGUUUUGUAGAUUCCCGACAGCUCGGUAGGAAUUUUGACGUAGGACCAAAACCAUCUAAAAGUAGACUCCAUAAGCUUUCCAACAAGUACUCAUAGGCCCCGAAAUUCCUUCUAGAUCAACAUCUAGGUUCGUUUGAAGUUGAUGCUGUCAGGAGGCCCGAAUCCGAAUCCAAAACGUGUAGAACUUGAUCUCUUGUCUUCUAUGGACCAAAAGUGACGUGGUGAGGUAGAAGUAGACUUGGAGAAGGUCUUGGUUUGGUCCCCAAUCAACUUCUUUGAUCAUCCAUGCAUUCGUUACGCUCGGUCUCUUUUCCUUCGCCCAAGCAAGUACCUCUACAAACAAAAACACAUCAUUGUGUAGCAACGUUUGUUCAAAUAUAUAACAAGUAAAUCUAAUGUAGAACAUAUGUACCUUUGUUUGAUUAAUAUAUAAGGUAUCCAUGGUUAUAUCCAAACUAGUAGUGUCCUCAUCACCUAGCUAGAAGUAUCAUGACGCUAAUGGUGGUGGAUAGAAAAUGGCAAAGGAAGGGAGAUAGUGCUGUUUCCAAAGGCAGAGAUGAAGUAAAAUAGGGUUCAAUGUAAAACAAAAGGGAGAGAGAGAGAGAGCUCAAAGUGAAAAGAAUGUGUAAAGGAGGGCAAAAGUGAAACUUUUGUAGUAAAGAGGUCCACAUUGCAAACCAUCUCUAUGUUUUAAGUUUUGAUGCAUGUAAAAAUAAUGUGACUGUGACAUCCCGGCCCAAUUUGGAUUAGGCCUGUGUGGCCCAUGUGAGUUGUGUGCGUAUGUUUAGUACGACCUUAUUAGUUUAGCAUGAGUGGAACUAACUUAUAAGGCCUCUUCCCUCCAACCAUACCCUUUUACACGAAGCGAGGACGAAAGUGUAAGUGGAGUGAUGUGUGUAAGUGGGCCCGCUACGUGGUUCUGGAGGGAGGGCUGUAACAAAUGGUAUCGGAGCCGACCCUUGCGAUUGCGCGUACGGGUCAGUGUGCGGGCAUAUGGCGCUGGCACUGGACGUACGGAUGUGCGCUUCGCGGUUGCGCGUACAGGUCAGUGUGCGGGCAUAUGGCGCAUGGCGCAUGUGGGCUCUGUGUGAGGCACAUGGCAUGGCAUAUGGCGCUAGCACUGGACGUACGGAUGUGCGCUGAGAGGGGGUGUGUUCCUGGACAGUUGCCUAUAUGCCUGUGUGGCUACAUGGGUAAGUUGGGCCGACAGGGAUGUCGGGUCCUUUGAGGGGGGGGGGGGUUGUGACAUCCCAGCCCAAUUUGGAUUAGGCCUGUGUGGCCCCACUCCCGGGUUAACCCUUUUAUACGAAGCGAUGACGGAAGUGUAAGUGGAGUGGUAUGUGUAAGUGGGCCCGCCCGUCGGAUGGGCUGGCUACACGGUUCUGUAGGGAGGGCUGUGACAGUGACGUGGUCAUCACUUCCAACUUAAAUGCUAAAAAUAUUGUUCUCAAUUUGUAACCUCCAUUGAGAGUAUUAUCAUGUUCUUAGUAAUUGCUUAUUGAUAUUUUUAUGGAAAAAGAGGUGUAGGCAAUCUUCUUCACAUUAUUCAUUACAGUAAGAUCGUUACACAUUUAGUUUACUUCUCGUUGAUCUGCCACUCAGCAUACUGUUGCGGCCCACGCCUCGGAGCAAAGACAGCCAUCUCAUCGCCGCGGUUGAACUUUACAUGCCUAGAGUCCUCCCUUGAAAGCCUAUAAGCAUUGGCGACCACGUCAACGGGUAGAGCACGAAGAAUGGAGGCCUUCCCUGCGAUCUGACUGUCGACAGCAUUGUGAUUGGUCUUGAAGGAUACCCAUGCAAAUCCUUCACGUCGAGCCUUCACCACCACUGCAAAGUUCUGUGGGAUCAACAAGAUCUGCUGUUGGUGAAGCUCACCAUCAAAGACACUCCUACCACGGUGAUCCACCACCUGGAUGUGCCCUUGGCCAGCGGUCACGUACAUCACCGUGUGUGCGUUUACCGUCCAAUGAGGAGUAAGCAAGGCAUUCUACAAAAAUGGAAGUGAAUCAACAUGACAAAUACUUGGCAUAAACUACAUACAUUAUGCUUACAAACUAUAGUAAUUUUCUCUUUGUUUAUACUCACAUUUUGGAGAACGAUUCUGGUGGCACUCAUCUGGAUGAUAUUGAGUAUUGGGAAAUUCUGGCUAUUGGCCCUUGUGAUCCUUCCACCAUGGGGGUUAAAUAUGUCACUGGAUUGUGGGUUGUCUAUGUUCUUCCUCAACUUAAAUGCACACAUAAUUUCAUCUAGGACAUUUUGCUGGCCGCAAGCUCCACCACUUCGCAACCAGGUGGGCUGUAGCUGCUUGGUUGGCAAGUAAGCUUGGGUUUGUUCCUCUUUCACUGGCUCAACUUGGAGAGAGGGCUGCAGUGCCUGGAGCCCAUUUUCAACUCUAAUGAUGGCACCUCUUGGGUCACUCAGGCCUUGGAGCCUCAACACAGUUUGCUUGCUCACACUCAGGGCUUCAGAAAGUAAAUCUGGGCUGAACCCAGCAAAGAUGUUCUGAUUUCUGCUCAGUUGUUCUGUCUGGUAUGAGUACGAUUGCUGCUGCCAGCUACUUCUAGGCUUUCCAGCCAAGAAAAACUCCUAACCCAUUUAUCAUUUCAUAGUAUACAAUACACAUUAGCAUUUUGUUAUCAUUGAAAUCAAAAUAGUGAUAUGGAAUAUUCAUUAUGCUUGUGUGGAGCAUAUGUACGCAUACCCUUCUUUUAGGAUCGAGCUGGUUGGCAUUGUUGCUGGUGUCGAUGACAGUGAAAGCAACCACAGGAGAAUCACCAUUGUUAUAUAGCCAGUGGGCUACUCCAGCUGGCACUGCGAUUACAUCACCUUGGUGGAAUUGGUGAAGUUGCUGGUGCUCGUCUCUCAUUUUUUGGAUUGAUGAUUGAGCCUCACCAGCUGUUGCCACCUCUUGCUCAAAGGGAGACCUAACUGACUGGAACGUCUCUGGACAACCAGGCAGUGCCAUCCCAAACACUCCCCGACCUGCAAUAUAUCCACUCAAUUAAAAAAACCCCACAUAUUAUCAAUUAAAAAUAAAAGAAAAUAGCUACCAUUUACAAUUGUUCACAAUAUAUUGGAGCUUGCUCAAACAAUAUACAGACCUUGGACGAUGUAGACAAGCUUGUGAGCAUUAGCAUACAUUGGUAAAACUAAGCCCUUGCUCUCGACGACUAAGCGCCUCACGCUCACUCCGGCACAACGGAACUCAUUUCUUGCCUCAAUGUUGUAGUACUCAGUGAAUCCAGCUUCAGAUCUCUGCUGGUGUGUUGCCUCAAGGGCGGUGAGGUGCUCAAAACGACAUUGAUGACGACUAUCUUGGUCUCCCCUAAAUCCACGUGGGCUCUGAAGUGGGCUUCCCCCAAAUGAAAAUUGUGCCAUGGACACUUGGAAGAAGAGAAGGAGGCCAAGGCACAAUGGAAGAAUGGUAGACAUGGAAGCCAUAGUUAUUCACUUAGUUUCCCACUGCUCUUG